rnacentral:pre_miRNA from 2 species
CUGUGGGAGCGGGUUUACCCGCGAAAAGGCCAGACCUGCCAUGUGCGGUGCCUGUGCCGGCCUCUUCGCGGGUAAACCCGCUCCCACAG